CCGACAACUCAACAACCGCCGCUGAUACUUCAGUAACUGAAGGAAACUCUGAAAACAUCUGCGACUGUGAAUGUUGCGUGAAGCCACAUCCAACCGAUUGCACUGCGUACUAUUACUGUGAGCCUGGCCAUCUUGCCAAAUACUUCACCUGUACUGAAGGUUUAGUAUUCCACCCAGAGGUACGCCAGUGUGUUCUUGAAGUCCAGUACCCUCAGUGUCAAGUGAGCAGUGGUGAUGAGGAUGAGUGCGACUUCACAUGUCCCAAUGCUGAAGGCAUGUAUGCUCACCCUCGUGACUGCAACAA